UUCAGAAAUUGUUUUGAUAUUACCUGUGCUUUUUUGUUACUAUGAAUUGUAAAAGUUGAUGUUUUAUUGUUUUGGUAUGGGUGUAUAUAUAGGAAGAUGUGAGGGUAAGUUUGUGGUAUAGGUGAUAUAUGAUAUUAUUAAGGUAAAAUGUCAAAAAUAGUUUAAAAUCUGGGUACUAUUCCAAUUAUGGGAUGUCCCAUAUAUUUAAUAUUCAUUGUUAUAAUUACUAUUUUGUAAGAUAUAUAUAUAUAUAUAUAUAUAUAUAUAUAUAUAUAUAUAUAUGUCAAUGCCUUUAUUAUUAAUUGGAUCUAAAAAAUAUUAAUAUAAAUCAUGAAGAUAUAGUUUUUUUUUAACUAAAUCUCGGAUAACAUCACAUUCAUUGUUCCACUAAAUUUCUUUAUAACAUUGUCCUAGUAAGAUUUAAAUUUAUGGAAAUCCAUUUUUUAUUUAAAUUAAUAAAUAAAUCUGUUUUUUGUUUAUUAUAUUUUUCCCAAACUUGUAAUUAAUAAUUUUCUUUAAAGUAGUCCAAUAUCUUUGUCAAUUUAUUUCUUCUCUUUGUUAUUGCAAUAUUUUCUGUUAUGUAUCCUGGAUAAAUUUUAAAGAGAUUUAUAAUAUAAAAAAAUGUUUUCUGGGUACUAUCCCAAUUAUGGAAUAACAUAUGUUUUAUAUUCAUUGUUAUAAUUUACUAUUUUGUAAGAUAUAAAUAUAUAUGUCAAUGCUUUUAUUAUUAAUUGGAACUAAAAAGAUUAAUAUAAAUAAUGAAGAUAUAGUUUUUUUUAACUAAAACCCGGAUAACAUCACAUUCAUUAUUCCACUAAAUUUUUUUAUCAAACAUUGCCCUACUAAGAUUUAAAUUUAUGGAAAUACAAUUUUACCUUUAAAUUAAUAAAGAAAUCUGUUUUUUUUUUCCAAACUUGUAACUGCUAAUUUUCUUUAAAGUAAUCCAAUAUCUUUGUCAAUUUAUUUCUUCUUGUAAUUACUAAUUUUCUAUGUUGUGGUCAAUUUGAUGAACAAUUACAAUACUUAUAGCUUUAGUAGACAGAAGAAGCUUAUUCUCUCCAUCUCAAGUUGGUUAGGAGGAAGAAAGGACUUCCUCGGUAUCACAUAUCUCGUCGUUGUUACCUCUUCAUUUAUCAUAUCCAUCAUCUUCAUGCUGCUCCAUUUGAAAAAUCCAAGACCUUAUGGGGACAAUUCUUGGAACAAGAAGAGUCUUUCGGGUUAAGAAGCUGUUGCAUUGUUUCUCUGAUACAUUCCCAUUCCAGGUUAAUAUUAUAUUCUUGCAAACUAAAGAGCUGUUGUAUACGUGAUCAUAUAGAUAUAUAGGAGUAUAACCAAUUUAUGAGCCUAUAGUUCUAGAAAACUGAUAAGGUUCCUCUGUUUUUUCUAUGACCGUUCUGUUUUUGGGUUCUAAAGAUAAACUGUUUUGACCCUUUUUCAACUCUUAAACCUCUAAUGCUAUGCAUUUGUUUUGGAUACUAUCUGUUUUUAGAGUUUCUAAAUUUAGCUAGCCUAACAAAAGCAUCGCAUUGGCGAUCUGCAAACCGCACAUAUUGUUCUUCUGACAUCCCGAAAAACAUUCAUGUUUUCUUCUCAUUUUCCAUAUUUGUCACCUUUAGUCUUCUCUAUUUAACCUCUCCCAUUCGUCUCCUCCAUUUCAUAAGCUCUCCCGUCGAAAGAUCUUUUCAUUUAUUAAGUCAAAAUCACCUUUCUUCCCUCCUCAGCCGCAAAAGAAACACACCGCUUCUUAUUCUUUCUCAAACUAAACCUGCGGUUUGCUUCUACAUUGUGAAAAGAAAACUAGGUGAAAGAAGGGGGAGAAAAAAGAUGGCCAAGGGAAUGAGGUUUGUUCAAACAUGGGGAGAGGUAGCACCAAGGCUUAUUGUGUCUCACAAGAAACAACAACAACAUUUCUCAAACUUGCCAAAGCUUGAGACUAUUGUUGAAGAAGGUUGCUGCAUUGAUAGUUUUGCUGUUAGGGCGCCUAAGAGGAUUGUGAUCUUUCUUCCUCUUGUAUUAUCAUUGAUUAUGUACAUUGUGUUGCACAAGAGUAUCAAAGAUUAUUGAUUCUUAACUGUCUUCCUUUUCUGUUGGUUAUGCGACUUUUUAAUGUGUGAUGGUGAGAAGAAGAGAAUGUUCUCACUUCUUAUAGAGAGAGAUUCAGUUCUCCGGUAAAAUAAAAAUUUUAAUUUAAUAAACAAGUUGUAGUUUGGGUUUCCCAGUUUAAUUUGAGUUUGCUUUUACAAUAAUUUGAUAUAGAAUUAUAUAAAUCAUUGUUUUGUGAAUAAAAUUACCAAGAAAAACUAAUUACAGAAAUAAACAAAUUUAAGUCGAAGAUGAUGGGUAAAAUGCUCCAAGAGAAUGAGAAAAGAAUAAAUACAUUAUUAUGCUUUUCAUCUGCUAAGAUAAGGCAAUGCAUAUUUUCAAAAAAAAAAAAAAAGAUAA